rnacentral:rRNA from 1 species
UACAGGGGGGGCAAGCGUUGUUCGGAAUUACUGGGCGUAAGGGCCAGUAGGCGGCCAACUAAGUCCGACGUGAAAUCCCCAAGCUUAACUUGGGAACUGCGUCGGAUACUGGAUGGCUUGAAUUCGGGAGAGGGAUGCAGAAUUCCAGGUGUAGCGGUGAAAUGCGUAGAUAUCUGGAGGAAUACCGGUGGCGAAGGCGGCAUCCUGGACCGACAUUGACGCUGAACGGCGAAAGCUAGGGGAGCAAACGGG